UUGCUCACUUCAGCAACACAUAUACUAAAAUUGGAACAAUAUAGAGAAGAUUAGCAUGGCCCUUGCACAAGGGUGACACAAAUUUGUGAAAUGUUUUAUAUAUGUAU